rnacentral:lncRNA from 1 species
UUGAUUUAUGCCUACUCACAUAUACUUGGUACAUGCACGUUCCUUAGAGGAGGGGAGAUAGGAAGACACACAUGUAAAUUUCCACCUCAGUUUGGAAACAGAUACUGCAAUCCCAGAAAAUCUUGCCAUAAGAAGAGCCUAGCCAAUAGUUUGACUGCGAUUUCAUGGGAGACCUCAAGGCAGAGUGAUCCAGGAGAAUACCACAGUCUGGAGGCUAUGAAGUCCAUGAUUAAGAAGCCAGCACGUUUGCUUUCUGGUUCCAAGAUGGCAUACCUUUUUGCUGCUUCCUCCAGAGAGGAGGAACACUGUGUUCUCACAUAGUAGAAGAUGGAAGGAGCAGGUGCAGAUGAGCAUGGCAAUGUGAGAAUAUGUCAGAGGCCCCAGGAUGAAAUGAGCUCAAGUCCCUGAAAUCCCUGUUAGAAGAGUCUUUCCACUGGUUGGGAAUGCUAAUUGUAUUUUGAGAACUCAAUGUUUCAGCAACUCAAAAUGUUACAGCUUCUGCAUUGGAAUAAAAAAGAAAACAGAAUUUGUACUCAUAUCAGAAGGCAAUCAAAGAACAUACACAUAAUAUACAUUCUAUUAUAGAGGCCCCAAGCUGUAUGAACUUUAGACCCCACAUAACCUGAAUCCAACCCUGCUUAUAAUGUCCAAGUUGUAAGGAAUCAAUACUUAUUAAAUGUUGACAAAUAAAGGGAAAUAAUUAGGAGAAGAAAUGCUUACUGCCAAUACCAUGACAGAUAACAAAUUAUCAGGCAGAAGAACAAGACCAACUAUGCAAGCAUAUUUCAAACCUCUGCUCACCACAUUAUAAUCUGCUAAUAUGCCAUUGGACAAAGCAUCUCACAUAGCCAUAUAUUGUGUCUCAAGAGUCAGAAGGUGUGACCUGUCACCCUGAAGUCAUCAUGUAUCUUAGCAUGCAGAGAAGGGACUGAAUGAAUAUGCCCAAAGAUGUGUAACACUCAUUGUCUCUGGGGAGAUGAAGAAGAAGUAUGGAAGAAGUAAGAUGAAGAAGAAGUAUGGAAGAAGUAAGGUGUCUGUGUAACCUCAUUCUUCCUGGACAUGGGACAAGAACUUGGGACCCGCUGAAUGAUGGGAGCAAAAGGAGCUGUAUCAUGUUCCUGGCCAGCUGGCUAAACUGCAGAUGGUGACAUGCUCCCAGACUGUGGGAGUGAAGAGUGGCAACCCUUCUGGCGGCUUUAGAACCAUGCAGAAAGAAGAGUGCUUCACAGAAUGAUUGCUUUA